rnacentral:misc_RNA from 1 species
UCAGCUGCAACUUAACCCACUGAUCCUUCGAGCUUCAAGCUCAUCAGUUGGUUCACCUCAGCACCAAAUUCAUCAGGAAGUUCAUUGAAGACAUCCUGACAGAACCCAGAAAUCAUAGCAGCCAUGGCCUUUUCAUAGUCAAUUCCCCUCUGCUGAAAGUAAAAUAGUUGAUCUUCACCAAUUUUAGAGGUGCUGGCUUCAUGUUCGACACGAGCUGUUGGGUUCUUCACCUGUUGAACAACAAGAUUAGAACAUUACGCAACAAUGUAGAAUGCCAUGUGAAUUUCCAAGUUUCGAGAUCUGGCUAUUGAGACACGCAACUAAAGUGAAAAUGUGACAAAUCUACCAGAGAAAACCAGCAUACAAUCAUUGGGAUUUACAUUCUAAUUAUCUCAAAGUGUUGACCACAAAGUUACAUGACACACUGAUUGGGGGUUCCAUGGUCACCUGGACGUGCUAACCCUCAGAACAUGGCAUGGGAACGAGGACAUAGUACAACACUUAAUUAAAUAUAGUGACGUAGGGUAAGCUUAGUUAGUAUGCCAAAUUAAAUCAUGGUACCCAAAUUAUAUUUAUCCAUUAAGUGAAUUAUAUUUUUGUGGUACUUCUUCUUCUUCUUCUU